CGGACGGGUGAGUAAUGUCUGGGAAACUGCCCGAUGGGGGGGAGUAACUACUGGAAACGGUAGCUAAUACCGCAUAACGUCGCAAGACCAAAGAGGGGGACCUUAGGGCCUCUUGCCAUCGGAUGUGCCCAGAUGGGAUUAGCUAGUAGGUGGGGUAAUGGCUCACCUAGGCGACGAUCCCUAGCUGGUCUGAGAGGAUGACCAGCCACACUGGAACUGAGACACGGUCCAG
rnacentral:rRNA from 1 species